rnacentral:rRNA from 1 species
UACGGAGGGUGCAAACGUUGCUCGGAAUCAUUGGGCGUAAAGCGCACGUAGGCGGCCCGUUAAGUCGGAUGUGAAAGCCCUGGGCUCAACCCAGGAAGUGCAUUCGAAACUGGCAGGCUUGAGUAUGGAAGAGGGUCGCGGAAUUCCCGGUGUAGAGGUGAAAUUCGUAGAUAUCGGGAGGAACACCAGUGGCGAAGGCGGCGACCUGGGCCAAUACUGACGCUGAGGUGCGAAAGCGUGGGGAGCAAACGGG